rnacentral:misc_RNA from 1 species
GUUUAAUUGCAGGUUCAUACGAGAGAUUCAUUUGGGGAUUCAAGUUGAGAUCCCUCAAAAACGAUCAGAAUUACGAACUAACCCCUCUAUUCUCCUUCCCUUCACAUCUCUCACCAAUUAAAUGCACCGCCGUCGCCGGUUCUGCCGCUGUAUCCGGCGGCGCCGAUGACACUAUCAAAAUCUAUGACCUUUCUACUUGCUCAGAAAUUGGGUCACUACACCACUCCGCCACCGUUACUUCACUUUCCUUUUUUACCCCUUCUUCAUUCUCCUUCCCUCGUAACCUUAUUGCCGCGUCUGAAGAUGGUUCGGUUUCCAUAUAUGAUGCUGAUCCUUUUGUUCAUCUCAAGACGGUUAAAGUGCAUCGUAAGGCAGUGAAUUCUAUAUGCAUUCAUCCGUCGGGGAGGUUGGCAUUGACUGUUGGAAGAGAUGAAUGUAUGGCUAUGGUUAAUUUGGUUAGAGGAAGGAGAAGUUUUUAUUGUAGGUUGGGAAAAGAAGCUUCUUUAGUUAAUUUUAGUGAUGGUGGUGAAAAGUUUUUUAUGGUUAUGGAUGAUAAGAUUUCUGUACAUGAAUCUGAAGAUGCCAAAGCUAUUCUAGAGCUUGACAGUAAGAAGAGGGUGCUUUGUGCCACUUAUGGGAUGCAUGGUAUUUUGUUUACUGGGGGAGAGGACCGGAGUAUUAAAGCUUGGGACAUUACUAGUGGAAAACUUGCAUAUAGCAUUGAAGAUGCACAUUCUACCCGUGUGAAAGGCAUUGUUGUGCUACACAAAAACAGUGAUGGUGAUGCUGAAGAUCAUCAACACAUAGUAGCAUCAGCAUCAUCAGAUGGGGUCAUACGUGUUUGGGAUGUUCGCAUGACUAACAAAGAUAAGCCAAAUCCACUGGCUGAGGUCAAUACAAAAUCCAGGCUGACUUGUCUGGCUGGAUCAUCCAUCAAAUCUAUGAAAAGACCACAGGUUGGAAAUACUACUUCAAAUGGACAACAGCUCGACGCAGGUGAAGAAUCAUAGUGCUGUAAUUUGGUAAUGACAAUCACAUAGUGUAUCUGCCAUAUUUUUCCUUUAGAUUCCCCCUCCCCCUGAAGUUGUUGGAAUCAUAUCAAUUUUGUUAGUUAAAAGUUGAUCACUCGAAAUCUAUUUUGUAAGGCGUGUGUAUUAUUUAAUUAAUGAAUAUGAGCAGUUAUUUAUUUUGGUUCUCAUAUCUCCCUAGUUAAGGUCCCCUUCGUACACGGAUGGGACUUCAUUUUUUGGUAUUUU